rnacentral:tRNA from 1 species
UAGACUGAAGCCAGUGUGUUAGGGUAUUUAGCUGUUAACUAAAAUUUCGUGGGGUUAAAGCCCACCAGUCUAG